rnacentral:rRNA from 1 species
UACGAAGGGUGCAAGCGUUACUCGGAAUUACUGGGCGUAAAGCGUGCGUAGGUGGUUUGUUAAGUCUGCUGUGAAAGCCCCGGGCUCAACCUGGGAAUGGCAGUGGAUACUGGCAAGCUAGAGUGCGGUAGAGGGUAGUGGAAUUCCCGGUGUAGCGGUGAAAUGCGUAGAGAUCGGGAGGAACACCAGUGGCGAAGGCAGCUCGCUGGGCCAACACUGACGCUCAGGCACGAAAGCGUGGG